UAACUUUCAUUGAUGCGAUUGGUGAAAAUACUAGUUUUCACGACGUUUUGGAUUAGGAGAAUUCUAAUUUUCACUGGUGCGAUUUGUGAAAAUAAGAGUUUUCACGGCCUUUUGGUGAAAUUCCAAUUUUCACGUGUAAUAACGCCAUGAAGAAAUUUGUUUGUAAAAACUCUAGUUUUCAAUGAGUAAUCAUCAGUGAUAAUCACCAUUUUCAUGUCAAAUAAUCGGUUGCGCCUCGCAAAAAUCUCGAUUUGUAUUUUGGUUUGCAAUUAUCGUGCACAGUAAUGUAAUCAUCUUUUUUCUUUAUAGGAACAAUUACAUUUAAAUCAUCAUUAGCCUAAUUAAAAAUUAGGGACAUACCAAAAGUAUAAGUUACACAGUGAACAAUGAAAUUCCUUACUACAAAAACAAGUCCUAUUAGUGAGGGUUUUUUUGUAAGGGCGUUACAAAUAGUGACUAUUUGUGAGGGUUUUUGACCAACCGUGGGAAAUAGUAGGUUUAGUCAAAGGAACAAUUUUCUUUUGUCAGUUUCGUGUUUCCGACGGUGUAAAAAACAAUCCAGGCAGAAAUAAUGGCUACGGUUGCCCAGCUGUAAUAGUUUGAGAAUUGGCUCCACUUUUUUUUUUUUGCACUCCUGCACUUAUUUCACCAAAUUUUAACUAAAAGAAAAAAAAAUCUUUUUUUUAUUCUAUUUUUGAGCCUUAUCUUUUAUCUUCUAAAAAUAUCUGGUCAUUUAAUCAGUUUCUUCUCUUAUUGUUUUCCAUUUUUCUCCGCCGCUGAAGAACUUCUAGGUUUUCUCUCGCCUCUUCUCUUCCAUGUUACCUUCUCUCGUCUCUUCUCUUAUCUCCUCCAUAUAAUUUUCGUUAUCAUCUCGUCCUACUGUUUUCGAUCUGUUCUUCCAUUAACAGAUUUGUUCUCUAAACAAAUGUAAUUUCCUAAAUGUUAAUUUUAGUUGCUUUUGUUUGCAGCAAUAGAAGGAUGAAGCUCUGAGUAAUUGUAGGAGACUAUUAAGGAACUAAAAGAGGAAACUUUGAGGAACCAGGAGUCUAUUAAGGUGAAAAUUUGAUUCUAAGGUUUAAUUUUUUUUUAAUUUCUAGUUUUUCUUUUUGUUACUUCUUUUUUCUUUUUUAUGCAUGAUCUAAAGGAAGAAGCUUUACCUACAAGAGUAUUUUAAGGUGAAGAUUUUGAUUGAAAAGAAAUUUAAUUUAAUUA